rfam:Nematostella vectensis strain CH2 x CH6 NEMVEscaffold_29_Cont5126, whole genome shotgun sequence.
GACAGGAUGGCCGAGCGGUCUAAAGCGCCAGACUCAAUGUUCAAUUCCUUCUCGUCAUGAAUAGGAGAGUGUUCAGGUCUCCGAAUAGAGGCGUGGGUUCGAAUCCCACUUCUGACA